rnacentral:rRNA from 1 species
CACUUCGGUGUGAGUACAGCGGCGGACGGGUGAGUAACGCGUAGGAAUCUACCCAGUAGUGGGGGACAACAUGGUGAAAACCAUGCUAAUACCGCAUACGCCCUAUGGGGGAAAGCGGGGGACCUUCGGGCCUCGCGCUAUUGGAUGAGCCUGCGUCGGAUUAGCUUGUUGGUGAGGUAAAGGCUCACCAAGGCGACGAUCCGUAGCUGGUCUGAGAGGAUGAUCAGCCACACUGGAACUGAGACACGGUCCAGACUCCUACGGGAGGCAGCAGUGGGGAAUAUUGCGCAAUGGGCGAAAGCCUGACGCAGCCAUGCCGCGUGUGUGAAGAAGGCCUUAGGGUUGUAAAGCACUUUCAAUUGGGAAGAAAAGUUGAUGGUUAAUAGCCAUCAGCCCUGACAUUACCUUUAGAAGAAGCACCGGCUAACUCCGUGCCAGCAGCCGCGGUAAUACGGAGGGUGCGAGCGUUAAUCGGAAUUACUGGGCGUAAAGCGCGCGUAGGCGGUUAGUUAAGUCGGAUGUGAAAGCCCUGGGCUCAACCUGGGAACUGCAUUCGAUACUGGCCCACUAGAGUGCGAGAGAGGGAGGUAGAAUUCCACGUGUAGCGUUGAAAUGCGUAGAUAUGUGGAGGAAUACCGGUGGCGAAGGCGGCCUCCUGGCUCGACACUGACGCUG